CCUACGGGAGGCAGCAGUGGGGGAUAUUGCACAAUGGGGGAAACCCUGAUGCAGCGACGCCGCGUGGGUGAAGAAGCGCCUCGGCGCGUAAAGCCCUGUCAGCAGGGAAGAAAAUGACGGUACCUGAAGAAGAAUCCACGGCUAACUACGUGCCAGCAGCCGCGGUAAUACGUAGGGGGCAAGCGUUAUCCGGGUUUACUGGGGGUAAAGGGGGCGCAGACGGCGAUGCAAGCCAGGAGUGAAAGCCCGGGGCCCAACCCCGGGACUGCUCUUGGAACUGCGUGGCUAGAGUGCAGGAGGGGCAGGCGGAAUUCCUGGUGUAGCGGUGAAAUGCGUAGAUAUCAGGAGGAACACCGGUGGCGAAGGCGGCCUGCUGGACUGCAACUGACGUUGAGGCCCGAAAGCGUGGGGAGCAAACAGGAUUAGAUACCCGGGUAGUC
rnacentral:rRNA from 1 species